AGAGUUUGAUCCUGGCUCAGAGCGAACGCUGGCGGCAGGCCUAACACAUGCAAGUCGAACGAACUCUUCGGAGUUAGUGGCGGACGGGUGAGUAACACGUGGGAACGUGCCUUUAGGUUCGGAAUAACUCAGGGAAACUUGUGCUAAUACCGAAUGUGCCCUUCGGGGGAAAGAUUUAUCGCCUUUAGAGCGGCCCGCGUCUGAUUAGCUUGUUGGUGAGGUAAUGGCUCACCAAGGCUACGAUCAGUAGCUGGUCUGAGAGGAUGGCCAGCCACAUUGGGACUGAGACACGGCCCAAACUCCUACGGGAGGCAGCAGUGGGGAAUCUUGCGCAAUGGGCGAAAGCCUGACGCAGCCAUGCCGCGUGAAUGAUGAAGGUCUUAGGAUUGUAAAAUUCUUUCACCGGGGACGAUAAUGACGGUACCCGGAGAAGAAGCCCCGGCUAACUUCGUGCCAGCAGCCGCGGUAAUACGAAGGGGGCUAGCGUUGCUCGGAAUUACUGGGCGUAAAGGGCGCGUAGGCGGACAUUUAAGUCAGGGGUGAAAUCCCAGAGCUCAACUCUGGAACUGCCUUUGAUACUGGGUGUCUUGAGUGUGAGAGAGGUAUGUGGAACUCCGAGUGUAGAGGUGAAAUUCGUAGAUAUUCGGAAGAACACCAGUGGCGAAGGCGACAUACUGGCUCAUUACUGACGCUGAGGCGCGAAAGCGUGGGGAGCAAACAGGAUUAGAUACCCUAGUAGUCC
rnacentral:rRNA from 1 species